UCGAUUCCCUUAGUAGCGGCGAGCGAAACGGGAAGAGCCCAAACCAACAAGCUUGCUUGUUGGGGUUGUAGGACACUCUAUACGGAGUUACAAAGGACGACAUUAGACGAAUCAUCUGGAAAGAUGAAUCAAAGAAGGUAAUAAUCCUGUAGUCGAAAAUGUUGUCUCUCUUGAGUGGAUCCUGAGUACGACGGAGCACGUGAAAUUCCGUCGGAAUCUGGGAGGACCAUCUCCUAAGGCUAAAUACUCUCUAGUGACCGAUAGUGAACCAGUACCGUGAGGGAAAGGUGAAAAGCACCCCGGAAGGGGAGUGAAAUAGAACCUGAAACCGUGUGCUUACAAGUAGUCAGAGCCCGUUAAUGGGUGAUGGCGUGCCUUUUGUAGAAUGAACCGGCGAGUUACGAUUUGAUGCAAGGUUAAGCAGUAAAUGUGGAGCCGUAGCGAAAGCGAGUCUGAAUAGGGCGUUUAGUAUUUGGUCGUAGACCCGAAACCAGGUGAUCUACCCUUGGUCAGGUUGAAGUUCAGGUAACACUGAAUGGAGGACCGAACCGACUUACGUUGAAAAGUGAGCGGAUGAACUGAGGGUAGCGGAGAAAUUCCAAUCGAACCUGGAGAUAGCUGGUUCUCUCCGAAAUAGCUUUAGGGCUAGCCUCAAGUGAUGAUUAUUGGAGGUAGAGCACUGUUUGGACGAGGGGCCCCUCUCGGGUUACCGAAUUCAGACAAACUCCGAAUGCCAAUUAAUUUAACUUGGGAGUCAGAACAUGGGUGAUAAGGUCCGUGUUCGAAAGGGAAACAGCCCAGACCACCAGCUAAGGUCCCAAAAUAUAUGUUAAGUGGAAAAGGAUGUGGCGUUGCCCAGACAACUAGGAUGUUGGCUUAGAAGCAGCCAUCAUUUAAAGAGUGCGUAAUAGCUCACUAGUCGAGUGACACUGCGCCGAAAAUGUACCGGGGCUAAACAUAUUACCGAAGCUGUGGAUUGUCCUUUGGACAAUGGUAGGAGAGCGUUCUAAGGGCGUUGAAGCAUGAUCGUAAGGACAUGUGGAGCGCUUAGAAGUGAGAAUGCCGGUGUGAGUAGCGAAAGACGGGUGAGAAUCCCGUCCACCGAUUGACUAAGGUUUCCAGAGGAAGGCUCGUCCGCUCUGGGUUAGUCGGGUCCUAAGCUGAGGCCGACAGGCGUAGGCGAUGGAUAACAGGUUGAUAUUCCUGUACCACCUAUAAUCGUUUUAAUCGAUGGGGGGACGCAGUAGGAUAGGCGAAGCGUGCGAUUGGAUUGCACGUCUAAGCAGUAAGGCUGAGUAUUAGGCAAAUCCGGUACUCGUUAAGGCUGAGCUGUGAUGGGGAGAAGACAUUGUGUCUUCGAGUCGUUGAUUUCACACUGCCGAGAAAAGCCUCUAGAUAGAAAAUAGGUGCCCGUACCGCAAACCGACACAGGUAGUCAAGAUGAGAAUUCUAAGGUGAGCGAGCGAACUCUCGUUAAGGAACUCGGCAAAAUGACCCCGUAACUUCGGGAGAAGGGGUGCUCUUUAGGGUUAACGCCCAGAAGAGCCGCAGUGAAUAGGCCCAAGCGACUGUUUAUCAAAAACACAGGUCUCUGCUAAACCGUAAGGUGAUGUAUAGGGGCUGACGCCUGCCCGGUGCUGGAAGGUUAAGAGGAGUGGUUAGCUUCUGCGAAGCUACGAAUCGAAGCCCCAGUAAACGGCGGCCGUAACUAUAACGGUCCUAAGGUAGCGAAAUUCCUUGUCGGGUAAGUUCCGACCCGCACGAAAGGCGUAACGAUUUGGGCACUGUCUCAACGAGAGACUCGGUGAAAUCAUAGUACCUGUGAAGAUGC
rnacentral:rRNA from 1 species